rnacentral:rRNA from 1 species
GGGACGAACGCUGGCGGCGUGCUUAACACGUGCAAGUCGAGCGGAAAGGCCCUUCGGGGUACUCGAGCGGCGAACGGGUGAGUAACACGUGAGUAAUCUGCCCAUCGCUUCAGGAUAGCCAUCGGAAACGGUGAUUAAUACUGGAUAUGACAUUCCUUCGCAUGUUGGGGUGUGGAAAGUUUUUUCGGCGGUGGAUGCGCUCGCGGCCUAUCAGCUUGUUGGUGGGUAAUGGCCUACCAAGGCUUUGACGGGUAGCCGGCCUGAGAGGGUGACCGGCCACACGUGGGACUGAGACACGGCCCAGACUCCUACGGGAGCAGCAGUAGGGAUAGUGGACAAGUGGGGGCAACCGUGAUCCAGCAAUGCCGCGUGAGUGAUGAGGUCCUUAGGGUUGUAACGUCUUCUUUACCGAGUAUG